rnacentral:rRNA from 1 species
CCUACGGGUGGCAGCAGUCGAGAAUCAUUCACAAUGGGGGAAACCCUGAUGGUGCGACGCCGCGUGGGGGAAUGAAGGUCUUCGGAUUGUAAACCCCUGUCAUGUGGGAGCAAAUUAAAAAGAUAGUACCACAAGAGGAAGAGACGGCUAACUCUGUGCCAGCAGCCGCGGUAAUACAGAGGUCUCAAGCGUUGUUCGGAAUCACUGGGCGUAAAGCGUGCGUAGGCUGUUGCGUAAGUCGUGUGUGAAAGGCGCGGGCUCAACCCGCGGACGGCACAUGAUACUGCGAGACUAGAGUAGUGGAGAGGGAACCGGAAUUCUCGGUGUAGCAGUGAAAUGCGUAGAUAUCGAGAGGAACACUCGUGGCGAAGGCGGGUUCCUGGACAUUAACUGACGCUGAGGCACGAAGGCCAGGGGAGCGAAAGGGAUUAGAUACCCCGGUAGUC